rnacentral:ncRNA from 1 species
UGGGGAUGGCGAUCUCCUCACGAGGCUCCGGCCGAAGCAUCGC